CCAAACUUGGUCAUUUAGAGGAAGUAAAAGUCGUAACAAGGUAACCGUAGGUGAACCUGCGGUUGGAUCAUUAAAAAAUCUAAACCUUUGUUAGAGAGUUUAUACUCUCUAUCAAACACUUUGUGAACUUUUAAUUGUUGAAUUGAUUAGGUCUCGGUCUAGUCAGUUCUCAUAUGAACAUUAUAUUUAAUUUAGUUGGCCAAUUUAAUAACUUAAUUAAAAACAACUUUUGACAACGGAUCUCUUGGCUCUCGCAUCGAUGAAGAACGCAGC
rnacentral:misc_RNA from 1 species